rfam:Clostridium sp. CAG:352 genomic scaffold, scf48
AACUUAUCAAGAGCGACUGAGGGAACAGGCCCUGUGAAGUCCGGCAACCUGCUUUUUUGUAAGGUGCCAAAUCCUGCGGUAAAGCCGAAAGAUGAGUA